rnacentral:rRNA from 1 species
UUGAACGCUGGCGGCAGGCCUAACACAUGCAAGUCGAACGGUAACAGGAAGAAGCUUGCUUCUUUGCUGACGAGUGGCGGACGGGUGAGUAAUGUCUGGGAAACUGCCUGAUGGAGGGGGAUAACUACUGGAAACGGUAGCUAAUACCGCAUAACGUCGCAAGACCAAAGAGGGGGACCUUCGGGCCUCUUGCCAUCGGAUGUGCCCAGAUGGGAUUAGCUAGUAGGUGGGGUAACGGCUCACCUAGGCGACGAUCCCUAGCUGGUCUGAGAGGAUGACCAGCCACACUGGAACUGAGACACGGUCCAGACUCCUACGGGAGGCAGCAGUGGGGAAUAUUGCACAAAGGGCGCAAGCCUGAUGCAGCCAUGCCGCGUGUAUGAAGAAGGCCUUCGGGUUGUAAAGUACUUUCAGCGGGGAGGAAGGGAGUAAAGUUAAUACCUUUGCUCAUUGACGUUACCCGCAGAAGAAGCACCGGCUAACUCCGUG